rnacentral:rRNA from 1 species
GAUGAACGCUGGCGGCGUGCUUAACACAUGCAAGUCGAACGGUGAAGGCCGUGCGUGUUCUGAUGGGUGAGUGGCGAACGGGUGAGUAACACGUGAGUAACCUGCCCUUGACUCUGGGAUAACGACAGGAAACGGAGUCUAAUACGGGAUACGAGCUGCGAAGGCAUGGUCCGAGGAGGAAAGGUGGGUCGGUCGGGGAUGGUCUGGCGGCCUAUCAGCUUGUUGGUGGGGUAGUGGCUGACCAAGGCGUGGACGGGUAGCCGGCCUGAGAGGGUGACCGGCCACACUGGGACUGAGACACGGCCCAGACUCCUACGGGAGGCAGCAGUGGGGAAUAUUGCACAAUGGGCGCAAGCCUGAUGCAGCAACGCCGCGUGUGGGACGACGGCUUUCGGGUUGUAAACCGCUUUCCGCUGGGACGAAGCGCUAGUGACGGUACCUGCAGAAAAAGCACCGGCUAACUACGUG